rnacentral:rRNA from 1 species
CCUACGGGGAGCAGCAGUGGGGGAUAUUGCACAAUGGGGGAAACCCUGAUGCAGCGACGCCGCGUGAAGGAAGAAGGCUUUCGGGUUGGAAACUUCUUUUGUCAGGGAAGAGUAGAAGACGGUACCUGACGAAUCAGCCACGGCUAACUACUUGCCAGCAGCCGCGGUAAUACGGAGGUGGCAAUCGUGUUCCGGAUUUACUGGGUGUAACGGGCGUGUAGCCGGGUUGACAAGUCAGAUGUGAAAUCCUGCGGCUUAACCGCAGAACUGCAUUUGAAACUGUUGCUCUUGAGUACUGGAGAGGCAGACGGAAUUCCUAGUGUAGCGGUGAAAUGCGUAGAUAUUAGGAGGAACACCAGUGGCGAAGGCGGUCUGCUGGACAGCAACUGACGGUGAGGCGCGAAAGCGUGGGGAGCAAACAGGAUUAGAUACCCGAGUAGUC